rnacentral:rRNA from 1 species
AACGAACGCUGGCGGCGUGCUUAACACAUGCAAGUCGAACGAGAAAGUCGUAGCAAUACGGCGAGUAAAGUGGCGCACGGGUCCGUAACACGUGGAUAAUCUACUUCCGAGCGGGGGGACAACCUGUCGAAAGACGGGCUAAUACCUCAUAAGACCACGGCUUCUCCGGAAGCCGGGGCCAAAGGUGGCCUCUAUUUAUAAGCUAUCGCUUGGAACUGAGUCCGCGCACCAUCAGCUAGNGGUAGGGUAACGGCCUACCAAGGCUAAGACGGUUAGCUGGUCUGAGAGGACGAUCAGCGACACUGGAACUGAGACACGGUCCAGACUCCUACGGGAGGCAGCAGUGGGGAAUCUUGCGCAAUGGGCGAAAGCCUGACGCAGCGACGCCGCGUGAGGGAUGACGGCCU